CUUCUCUUCGAUUCCUUUCUUCGUCCUACAUAUCAUCAUCAUCAUCAUUAAUAAUAAUAAUAAUAAUCCAGAUCCUCGAUCGAGUAUAUAUGGACACCACACCACAAUCGGAAUCCCCGCCGCUUGCAGAUAUAUUAGUGAGAGAUGUGAUUCUCUGGAGGAGGAAGAAGCUGAGCGUAAUUGUUCUCUGCGUGGCAACGGGGAUGUGGGUAGUACUGGAAGUUUAUCAGCUGAACAUCCUCACCGUUGCUUCUUGGCUGGCCAUGCUUCUUGUUAUCGCAGCCUUCUUGUGGGGCAACAUUCUCAGGCUCUUGAACAACCGAAUAUUUUGUUUACCAGUCCAAAGAGCUUCUUCCUCGUUCACUCUCUCUCUCUCUCCGACGUGCAUCUCCUCCACCUCCAGCGUGUCAUCCAGCUCCGGCGUUGGUCCUCCGUGUGUCUCCUCCUGCCGUCGUUGGUCCUCUCCAUGUCUCCUUCACCUCUAGCGACAUCUCUUUGUUCUCUUUCUUCUUCAGGAAAUUAUAUACAAGAAACUACUCUAUGCCAUAAGUGAGAGACAGGAAUAUUUGGACUUGUCAUAGGGUUUCCAAAGCUAACCAAUCAAUUUGUGUAUAUUUUUAUUGAAGAGAUUUUGAGUUCUUUUUUCUUUUGAAUUUUUUUGUUGGGUUUUUAAAUUGGGAGAAAAUGGUUUUUAGAGGCAACUUUUAGGUAAUGAAUGAUGAUAUAACUUUUAAGUAAUGGUUAACUGAGUAUAAGUUACUAAUUAAUUUUAUCUUUAGUUUAUUUUAUUCUUUUACCUAUUACUUUUAUUCAUCUCACACAUGUUAUAUAUUUUCAGGUUAUCAAUAAAGAGGUUCUUUUAGCUAGACAAGAUAUUGUGAAAUGAACAAUCUAUUAAAUAUCUUCAUGAGUUUACGUAAAAUAAUAUGUUGUGUGAGGAAAAUAAUCAUUUACAUUUUUAUUAUUACUUUUGUUGAGACACAAACGAGCAAUUGGAGUUACUAUUGGUCACUGAUCACGUUUGAACUAAAUUAUGAGUGUUUGUUUGAAUUAAAUUAUGAGAUUUUUUUUUAUGUAUUUAAAGCUAUCCUUAUUAGGUUAUUGAUCUACGC